AUACGUAGGGGGCGAGCGUUGUCCGGAAUGACUGGGCGUAAAGGGCGUGUAGGCGGCGCUGUAAGUCCGGAGUGAAAGUCCCGUUUUCAAGGCGGGAACUGCUUUGGAUACUGCAGAGCUUGAGUGCGGAAGAGGGAAGUGGAAUUCCCAGGGUAGCGGUGAAAUGCGUAGAGAUUGGGAGGAACACCAGUGGCGAAGGCGACUUACUGGGCCGUAACUGACGCUGAGGCGCGAAAGCGUGGGGAGCGAACAGGAUUAGAUACCCUGGUAGUCCACACUGUAAACGAUGAAUGCUAGGUGUAGGGGGUAUCGACCCCGUCUGUGCCGCAGUCAACACAAUAAGCAUUCCGCCUGGGGAGUACGGCCGCAAGGUUGAAACUCAAAUGAAUUGACGGGG
rnacentral:rRNA from 1 species